UAGACAACCCACCCAACUCACACCCUGACCAUACUAAAACAAAGACAUAACAAAAGAACUAAGGUCAGAACGUGACAAUUCCUCUGCAAUAUUUGAGGGACCUGACUGGCAAAAAUGCCUUUCUAGCAACUCUCAAGGUGAGUUACACUUACACCAACAAAGACACGUUUGUUUAUGGAAAUAUGUAUGACUUGAGUAAGACAUUUGAUUUUUGCAUGUUAUGUAAUGUGUCCUGUAUUUACUGUUUGUCUUUUGUGUGACAACACGUAUUGCGUAUACAAGCAGGUGGGCCGCAUGAUUGCUGUCUGUCUGGUACAUGGGGGAGUAUAGCCAAAAUGUAUUUCAGAGAGGCUAUACCGGCAAGUGUGCGGCCUACAACCUCCUGUGCCAGAACUGAAAGAAAUGGCGGAAAAUGACUUCAGAGAGAAGUUCGAGAAGGGUUUGCACCCAGAGGCCUGAGUCUGCUAACCAGUUUGUGGGUCAGGAUGGUGUUGAAAGCAGAUCUAUAAAAUAUGACACACUGCAGUCAAAAAUGCCAACCAGCGGCUCUCCAUCCUACGGUGGCUGAAGACGUUUUGCCUGACAUCAAACAUUAACAAGUGUCGGAUUGAAGUGUCUGAAAAAAUGUAAACAGAACCAUAUAAGCAGAUUCCUUUUUUUGUCUCCUUUACUGGCACAGUGGUUUUGAAAUAAUUUCUAAUUGUAGUCACUUUCAAUUGAUUCAUUGACUCAAAGAACCAUAGAUUGUUUGUAGUUCAUAACAUUUCAACGUUGCUUGACUAGUAAAUUGGGAUACAUGUUUUAAUAAAAUGUUAUAUUUUAUUGGGCUUAAUGUUGAAUACCUUGUCGUGUUGUGCAUGCCAACCAGGUGAGAAUUAUCAGAAUUAACUGUGAUACUUGAUGAAUCAGGUCUUCUCUGCUGUUUCAUCAGCCUCCCCCUUGCCCACUCCAAGCUCCUCAUCAUAGUUCCCUUCUGCAAGACACAAUUGUGUGAAAAUAAAGCAGAAGGAAUCGGAACACUAUUCCUUUGAAGCAGUACUAUAUAGUACUGGGUAAUGCCUGAAGUUAUUUUACCCUAAUAGGCUUUGAUGGAAUGUAAAUAUUCCAAAAAUGAAAUGAUCGUGCACAUUAGUCUACCCUGUUCGAAAGCUGAUAUGUU